ensembl:antisense
UCCCUGGGGUAACAGGCAGCAAGGAGGGUUUUAAGGAGGACUGUGUGACCAGUCUAGAUGUAAGUCUCAGAGGUAAAGAGGGGCUAUGAGGAAGAAGAGAAGCAUAAGGGAACAGACUGAGGCGCCUCCUUCACCCAGGAUUUCAAAACAGGGGGGGAUGUGGAGAAAGGACAUGUAUGCAAAAGCCUGCAGAAGUGCACACAGUAUGGAGCACAGUUACAGAAACGGAGGAAGUGUCUGAGGCUGAGCCUUGGGAGGGAAGAUGAGCCCCAUCAGGGGAGGCGGGAGAGAAGAAACCAGAUGAAUAUUCAUUGGCUUCUGAGUUCACCGUACAAGUGCUCGCUCGGUGCCCCAGGGGAAUCCUGUGGCCAGCUGUGAAGGCAGGAAGAGGAAAAAUCAAGCAUGAAGCCAGCCCCCCAGGGCAGCAGCUGAUGCUGAGCAGAGAGUGACGGACCGCAGCGUACCUGGCCCUGACCCAGGCUCGACACUGCCGGCCACUCACAUCCACCUAUCCAUCCAUCACUCACGUAUACACCCAUUUCUCCCAACUGCUCCUUCUCUUUAAGGAGUUCUCUUUAUGUUAUUUUAGUUUUUUAAGACUGGGUCUCUCUAUGUAGCCUUGGCUCUCCUGGCAGUCUCCAUGCAGAGCAGUCUGGCCUCGAACUCACAGAGAUCUGCCUGCCUUUGCCAACCAAGUGCUGGGGUUAAGGGUGUGUGUCACCAUACCCAGACCAAAGAUUUCUCUUCCCCGUCCCCUGAGCCCCCAGCUCUGAAAGUCUUACACUUGCUAGGUAAUCAAUCAGACCACCACUGAGCUAAAGCCCCAACCCCAAGAUUUCUUUUUUUAUUUAAAAAAAUAUUAAUUUUA